CUUAAAUAGAAACUUUUAGAAAAUUAUUUAUAAAAUACAUCCUAUUGAUCAAAAAUUCUAUAAGAAUACACAUCUAACAACAAAAACUCUAUUUAUCCCAAUUUCCAAAUCAAAAUCCCAAAUCUACAAUAUUUCUCUUUAAAAAUGAAAACUUUCCUUAGAUAGAAAUUUUUAGAAAAUUAUUUAUAAAAUACAUCUUAUUGAUCAAAAAUUCUAAAAGAACAUACAUCUAACAACAAAAACUCUAUUAGUCUCAAUUUCCUAAUUAAAAUCCUAUAUCUCCAAUAUUUCUCUAUAAAAAUGAAAACUUUCCAUAAAUAGAAAUUUUUAGAAAAUAAUUUUAAAAAUACAUCCUAUUGAUCAAAAAUUCUAAAAGAACACACAUUUAACAACAAAAACUCUAUUUAUCCCAAUUUCCAAAUCAAAAUCCCAAAUCUACAAUAUUUCUCUUUAAAAAUGAAAACUGUCCUUAGAUAGAAAUUUUUAGAAAAUUAUUUAUAAAAUACAUCCUAUUGAUCAAAAAUUCUAAAAGAACACACAUUUAACAACAAAAACUCUAUUUAUCCCAAUUUCCAAAUCAAAAUCCCAAAUCUACAAUAUUUCUCUUUAAAAAUGAAAACUUUCCUUUAAUAGAAACUUUUAGAAAUUUAUUUGUAAAAUACAUCUUAUUGAUAAAAAAUUCUAAAAGAACACACAUCUAACAACAAAAACUUUAUUAAUCAUUAUCCCAAUUUCCAAGUCAAAAUCCCAAAUCUAUAAUAUUUCUCUUUAAAAAUGAAAACUUUCCUUAAAUGGAAACUUUUAGAAAAUUAUUUAUAAAAUACAUCCUAUUGAUCAAAAAUUCUAAAAGAAUACACAUCUAACAACAAAAACUCUAUUUAUCUCAAUUUCCUAAUCAAAAUCCCAAAUCUACAAUAUUUCUCUAUAAAAAUGAAAACUUUCCUUAAAUAGAAAGUUUUAGAAAAUAAUUUAUAAAAUACAUCCUAGUGAUUAAAAAUUCUAAAAGAAUACACUUCUAACAAUAAAAACUCUAUUUAUCCCAAUUUCCAAAUCAAAAUCUCAAAUCUCAAAUAUUUCUCUAUUAAAAUGAAAACUUUCCUUAAAUAGAAACUUUUAGAAAAUUAUUUAUAAAAUACAUCAUAUUGAUCAAAAAUUCUAAAAGAAUACACUUCUAACAACAAAAACCGUAUUUAUCCCAAUUUCCAAAUCAAAAUACCAAAUCUACAAUAUUUCUCUUUAAAAAUGAAAACUUUCCUUUAAUAGAAAUUUUUAGAAAAUAAUUUUAAAAAUACAUCCGAUUGAUCAAAUAUUCUAAAAGAAUACACUUCUAACAACCAAAACUCUAUUUAUCCCAAUUUCCUAAUCAAAAUCCCAAAUCUCUAAUAUUUCUCUAAAAAAAUGAAAACUUUCCUUAAAUAGAAACUAUUAGAAAAUUAUUUAUAAAAUACAUCCUAUUGAUCAAAAUUUCUAAAAGAAUACACAUCUAACAACAAAAACUCUAUUUAUCCCAAUUUCCUAAUCAAAAUCCCAAAUCUACAAUAUUUCUCUAUAAAAAUGAAAACUUUCCUUAAAUAGAAAGUUUUAGAAAAUAAUUUAUAUAAUACAUCCUAUUGAUUAAAAAUUCUGAAAGAAUAGACUUCUAACAACAAAAACUCUAUUUAUCCCAAUUUCCAAGUCAAAAUCCCAAAUCUAUAAUAUUUCUCUUUAAAAAUGAAAACUUUCCUUAAAUGGAAACUUUUAGAAAAUUAUUUAUAAAAUACAUCCUAUUGAUCAAAAAUUCUAAAAGAAUACACAUCUAACAACAAAAACUCUAUUUAUCCCAAUUUCCAAAUCAAAAUCCCAAAUCUACAAUAUUUCCCAUUAAAAAUUAAAACUUUUCUUAAAUAGAAACUUUUAGAAAAUUAUUUAUAAAAUGCAUCCUAUUGAUCAAAAAUUCUAAAAGAAUACACAUCUAACAACAAAAACUCUAUUUAUCCCAAUUUCCAAAUCAAAAUCCCAAUUCACAAUAUUUCUUUUUAAAAAUGAAAACUUUCCUUUAAUAGAAACUUUUAGAAAUUUAUUUAUAAAAUACAUCCUAUUGAUCAAAAAUUCUAAAAGAAAACACAUCUAACAACAAAAACUCUUUUUAUCCCAAUUUCCAAAUCAAAAUCCCAAAUCUCCAAUAUUUCUCUUUAAUAAUGUAAACUUUUCUUAAAUAGAAAUGUUUAGAAAAUAAUUUUAAAAAUACAUCCUAUUGAUCAAAAAUUCUAAAAGAAUACACAUCUAACAAUAAAAACUCUAUUUAUCCCAAUUUCUAAAUCAAAAUCCCAAAUCUCCAAUAUUUCUCUUUAAUAAUGUAAACUUUUCUUGAAUAGAAAUGUUUAGAAAAUAAUUUUAAAAAUACAUCCUAUUGAUCAAAAAUUCUAAAAGAAUACACAUCUAACAAUAAAAACUCUAUUUAUCCCAAUUUCUAAAUCAAAAUCCCAAAUCUCCAAUAUUUCUCUUUAAUAAUGUAAACUUUUCUUGAAUAGAAAUGUUUAGAAAAUAAUUUUAAAAAUACAUCCUAUUGAUCAAAAAUUCUAAAAGAAUACACAUCUAACAAUAAAAACUCUAUUUAUCCCAAUUUCUAAAUCAAAAUCCCAAAUCUCCAAUAUUUCUCUUUAAUAAUGUAAACUUUUCUUGAAUAGAAAUGUUUAGAAAAUAAUUUUAAAAAUACAUCCUAUUGAUCAAAAAUUCUAAAAGAAUACACAUCUAACAAUAAAAACUCUAUUUAUCCCAAUUUCUAAAUCAAAAUCCCAAAUCUCCAAUAUUUCUCUUUAAUAAUGUAAACUUUUCUUGAAUAGAAAUGUUUAGAAAAUAAUUUUAAAAAUACAUCCUAUUGAUCAAAAAUUCUAAAAGAAUACACAUCUAACAAUAAAAACUCUAUUUAUCCCAAUUUCUAAAUCAAAAUCCCAAAUCUCCAAUAUUUCUCUUUAAUAAUGUAAACUUUUCUUGAAUAGAAAUGUUUAGAAAAUAAUUUUAAAAAUACAUCCUAUUGAUCAAAAAUUCUAAAAGAAUACACAUCUAACAAUAAAAACUCUAUUUAUCCCAAUUUCUAAAUCAAAAUCCCAAAUCUCCAAUAUUUCUCUUUAAUAAUGUAAACUUUUCUUGAAUAGAAAUGUUUAGAAAAUAAUUUUAAAAAUACAUCCUAUUGAUCAAAAAUUCUAAAAGAAUACACAUCUAACAAUAAAAACUCUAUUUAUCCCAAUUUCUAAAUCAAAAUCCCAAAUCUCCAAUAUUUCUCUUUAAUAAUGUAAACUUUUCUUGAAUAGAAAUGUUUAGAAAAUAAUUUUAAAAAUACAUCCUAUUGAUCAAAAAUUCUAAAAGAAUACACAUCUAACAAUAAAAACUCUAUUUAUCCCAAUUUCUAAAUCAAAAUCCCAAAUCUCCAAUAUUUCUCUUUAAUAAUGUAAACUUUUCUUGAAUAGAAAUGUUUAGAAAAUAAUUUUAAAAAUACAUCCUAUUGAUCAAAAAUUCUAAAAGAAUACACAUCUAACAAUAAAAACUCUAUUUAUCCCAAUUUCUAAAUCAAAAUCCCAAAUCUCCAAUAUUUCUCUUUAAUAAUGUAAACUUUUCUUGAAUAGAAAUGUUUAGAAAAUAAUUUUAAAAAUACAUCCUAUUGAUCAAAAAUUCUAAAAGAAUACACAUCUAACAAUAAAAACUCUAUUUAUCCCAAUUUCUAAAUCAAAAUCCCAAAUCUACAAUAUUUCCCAAAUCUAGUCAAGUGAUGGUUCCCACAUAUUUGAAAAAUAAAAAAUGCUAGUACAACAGAAAUUAUUUGAUGUGAAAGUCUUCCUUUUUCAAGAUUUUGGUUCACACCUAGAAAAACAAAAGACUUGAAACUGGAGAUGUGUAUUAAGAUUGUACAUGCUACAACCUUCAAAUAACAAGUGCCAUGUUUAUUCUGUGUAGGUAAAGUAUACAAAGAUGUAGUCGGUAGCGCAUACUAUGUUGCACCUGAAGUUCUACAUCGAAACUACGGUAAAGAGAUCGAUGUGUGGAGCGCUGGUGUCAUGCUUUACAUUCUUCUAUGCGGUGUUCCUCCAUUUUGGGGUGGUAUGUUAAAAACAUUUUUUUGUGAAUCUAAAGUUUAUUAUCACUCCAUUUGAAGAAUGUUAAGAAAUGAAAUGUUACAAAACCGGUACUAUAUAUUGUUUUAGAGACCGAGAAGACUAUAUUUGAGGCGGUCUUAGAAGGGAAUUUAGAUCUUGAAUCUUCUCCUUGGCCUACUAUAUCGGAAAGUGCAAAGGACUUGAUAAGAAAGAUGUUGGCAAGAGACCCUAAAAAACGGAUUACUGCAGCUGAAGCACUUGGUAUGUGUUUGCAAUUUGUCUUGAUUUGUGACACAUUAUAUAUACCUCAUAGCUAACUAACUAAGCGUUAUUUUGUUGCGAUUAAAGCGCAUCCAUGGUUGACGGAUAGCGAAGUUUCAGAUAAACCAAUUGAUAGUGCAGUCCUUAUUAGGAUGAAGCAGUUCCGCGCAAUGAACAAGCUCAAGAAACUUGCCUUGAAGGUAAAGUUAACUGAUACUCCAUCAUCAAAAAGAUGAUUUAAAGAACAUUAAAGUUAACUGUUGUCUUUUGUCUUUUGUUUAAUAGGUCAUAGCUGAAAACUUAUCAGAAGAAGAGAUUAAGGGAUUAAAGCAGAUGUUUAAAAACAUUGAUACGGACGGAAGUGGCACCAUCACUUUUGAUGAACUAAGAACCGGUUUACAUCGUCUUGGAUCCAAACUUACUGAAUCUGAAAUCAAACAACUCAUGGAAGCUGUAAGAAGACAAGAACACAAAUCCACUUGGUGAUAUAAUUAAGCUAAUUACAUUAUUAUUCUGUUUUUGAUGAUAGGCUGAUGUGGAUAAAAGCGGGACGAUUGAUUACAUUGAGUUCAUAACAGCUACAAUGCAUCGGCAUAGAUUGGAGAAAGAGGAGCAUUUGCUAGAAGCAUUCAAAUACUUUGACAAAGACAGAAGCGGGUUUGUUUUUUUUGUUUUUCCUUAUAUUGUGACAGAAAUAUAUUAAAGAUGAAAUUAUCUUUCUAACGUAAUCUUUCAUAUUUUUCUUCUUCUUAAAGAUACAUCACAAGGGACGAGCUUAAGCAUUCGAUGACACAGUAUGGAAUGGGUGAUGAUGCUACCAUAGAUGAAGUCAUCAAUGAUGUUGAUACAGACAACGUAAGAAUAAAUUUAAUUACUUUUAUUAAUUUUGUGUUGAUUUCUAUAAAUGUUGAUGAUUGAUAGGAUGGGAGAAUAAAUUAUGAGGAGUUUGUGGCGAUGAUGACGAAGGGAACUACAGAUCAUUCAGAUGCGAAGCUGAUCAGAUGAUAUAUUCAUCUAGACAUAUAGAUGCUUUGCUUCCACCAUUAAUAAAGUAUAAAACUAAUAAUAAAGUAUCAAAAAAGAAAAACGAAUGAGACGAGAAUCAAUGCAUUCUUUUGACAUUUCUCUUUAAAUGUUUAAAAUGAUUUGUUUGUACCUACCUGCGUGAGUUUGAAUAUAAGAAGAACGAAAAUCCCCUGAAAGUACGUAACAAAGUAAUAAAUAAAAUCAAACAGAGAACGAACGUGUCCAAACCUAACGAAUCCUAAACGGUUCGUUAGUGAAAGUAACGUUGUCGGAAAAGCCUUUUACGGCCCAACUCGAGACCCAUGAGGCUUUUAAAUGAAAAUAGCAAACCCUCUGUGUCGCCUAGAGGCUUUCGUGAAACGCUGCUAAAACACCAGAUAACAAAUCGGAAUUUUUUUUAAAAUUGACGACGAUGCUCUCCAUCUCUCCGGUGCCGAGCUUCUCUAUAACCUCCGUGAAAUAUCUUCGCUCUCCUUCCUCUUCCUCCUUCAUCUCCGUCUUCCCUAAACUUUCCAGAUUCGUCACAGCCACUUCCGCAACCCCCAAUUCAACACCGGAGACCACCACCACGAGAGUCAACAACGCCGGCCUCAAACUCGACGAGACAGUCUCCGUCUCCAAAGGCAAGAUUCGCCUCGACUCAUGGAUCUCCUCUCGCGUCGAUGGAGUUAGCCGAGCUCGCGUACAGUCCAGCAUCCGCCAAGGACUCGUCUCCGUCAAUGGCCACGUCAUCGAUAAGGUUUCGAACUUCAGAUUCAAAUCCUUCAAAAUUUGCGUCAAACAAAGUUUUCACCUUUAGAUCUCUCUUGCAGGUUUCGCACAAUGUGAAAGCUGGCGAUGAGGUUCAUUGUACGAUAUCAAAGCUCCAACCUUUGAGAGCUGAACCCGAAGACAUACCGUUAGAUAUAGUUUACGAAGAUCAGCACGUGCUCGUCGUUAACAAACCGCCUCACAUGGUAGUCACGUGUUUCUUUAAUACUUUGAAAAAAUUGAAUCUUUGGUGUUUACCAAUGUUCAAGAAAUCGCUAGGCAGUGUUUAUUUAGACGUCUUAUAGAAGAUUAUUGUUUAAACCGGCGCCUAAACCGAUUUUUAGAACACUGGUGUUGAAGAAUCUCUCUCGUUUGGUGGUUUAGGUUGUUCAUCCUGCGCCUGGGAAUCCUAAUGGGACGCUUGUUAACGGAAUACUUCACCAUUGUAGUCUCCCUUGUGUUGCUACUUAUUCAAACCAAGAAGAUGAUGAUGAUUCGGAUGAAGAAGAAACGUUUUCAGAUGAUGAAGGGAUGAUUCGUCCAGGUAUUGUUCAUAGGUUGGAUAAAGGGACUAGUGGAUUGCUCGUUGUAGCUAAGGUUAGUACCUGUCUUUUGUCUUUUUUUCUUUUUGUUGCUUUAUGAGGUGUGACUUUAACUGGAAGUGUGAUGGUCAGGAUGAGCAUUCUCAUGCUCAUUUGGCGGAACAGUUCAAGCUGCACACGAUUGAGAGAGUUUAUAUAAGUCUUACCACUGGAGUUCCUUCUCCGUCUCAGGGGAGGAUUGAUGUACCGAUUGGUAGGGAUUCGAAUAAUCGGAUCCGUAUGGCUGCUAUACCUGGAUCAUUGAGCCGUGGAAGGGCUCGUCAUGCUGCUAGUAGGUGAUGGAGCAGUCUUUUUUACAAGUGCACUGUAACACUGAUGCUUGUAUCCUCACAUAUUCUCAUGUUCUCUUAGGUAUAAGGUAGUUGAAACACUCGCUGGAGGUGGCUCUGCGUUGGUUGAGUGGAGACUAGAAACUGGCCGUACACAUCAGGUAGUGAAAGAAAUCAAAAUCUGUAAAUUUGUUUUUUAAUUUGUUCACAUCUAUGUCUGCAAGAGUUUGACUUUAACCUCUAUGUUGCUGAUAUACUACCUGAGUUUCAUCUUGAUUUGAGUUUAGAUACGUGCGCAUGCCAAGUACAUGGGAGUACCUCUACUGGGUGACGAAGUGUAUGGAGGAACGAAAAGCAUGGCACUUUCUCUUCUGCAGAGAAGAGUCUCCCGGAGUGAUCAAGAAGAGAUCAUAGAGCUGGUGUCAAGAAUGGAUAGGCCUUGUCUUCAUGCUAUAGUUCUCGGGUGAGAGAUAACUCAAAAUCUCAGUCUUUAUAGUCUAAACUCAAAGCUUAGGAGAUAGAACAUGUUUAUAAUAACUGCUUUUCUCUAAUUAUGUUUUCUUUCACAGCUUUGAACAUCCGUGCACAGGAGAAAUCAUAAAGUUUUCAUGUCCACCGCCUCCGGAUCUUGCUGAGAUAGUAGGCCUGCUUCGUAGAAGCGGAAGAGACAAAGUAACCACCAAACUCUACUUUUAUUUUACUUAAUCUCAUGCCUAGAGCUAAGUUACUCUGUUUUCAUUACAGAGAUUUUGUUUAUGCUGAGUCUUCUUAAGUCGUGGUCUUUCUUUCUUUUGGCAGGUGGAAUAAUCUCUCGAUUUUGGUUUAUAAACUCAUAGUCUCGGACAUUGAUUCUGCAGUAGCAUGAGAGAUAUCAACGCCACUAUCCUUUAAAGCAGCAAGCAAUCAAACUUCUCUCUGAAGAUAUUUGACGAAACAAAUGAAAGUGUAGUCUCAGUUUCAUGAUCCAAGUGUUUUAUAGUACAGCUAAGAGGUGUAUAAAGCUCAAAUGGGAACUUACCAAAAACAUCUACGUGUUUCAAAUGAUAUUCCAAACCCAACAAAAUCAACAUCAGCUAAGCUAAUAGACACCUGUAUCUUUCGCCUUCUCCCUUCUCGCCACAAUUUAUAAAGAGAUAACAGAGGCACAAACAGAAAAGAAUGAUGAGCAGACCACUGAUCAGUAGCUAUUUUUGACAAAUCAAGUACACUAUUCUUGAUGUAUAUAAAAUAAGCAUCUCGCUGUGGUGAUUGGUCAAGAAUAUGUAUGUGAAUAGACUCAGUUUCUCUGUAAUCUGCGACGUUUCAAAGAUAAAAUCAUGUGCACAAAAAAGAAAGUUUCAUUCACAUUUUACCCCCAACAAAAAAAAAGUUUCAAGUCUCAACGAUUAAAAGCAUUUAAGUACGAACCCGAAUAAAAUAUAAGAACUCGAAAACCUUGUCUUGAAGGAUCCAUGAGGGUACACGAAACAUUUUACUCAGUUUCUUCUGCUAAGGCUUAGUAAUAGACAUUUCCAUACUUUCUAAAAUCUUUCCGAGUUUCAUCCUCCGAUAACUAUCUUGAACUUUUUUAGCACUACAGAUCUCUCGAGCGUUUCCUAUACUUGUCACUGACUCGUCUUGCAGAAAUAUAGUUACUCGAUUAUAUGUUUAAAUUUAUUUGAUAAACAAAAGAGUAAAGCCUUUCUGUAAUGAAAGUACAUCUUAUCUAUUAAUUUCACUGCUAGCUACAAAUAAAAAUGGUAAAAUAAUAAGUCUUUCUAACAUUAUGUUUAAACAUCACUAUAAAUAAUGAUGCAGUAAUAUUUUUAAAUGUUUGGUAGGAAAUAAAAAAUCUAGAAGGGGACGUUGCGAUGGACACCGAAAGCGGUGAGGUAGACAUCAGUGUUUCUUCCGUAAAACCCGAUUAUCUUCCUGCCUCCUCCUCCUCGGAGCACAAAUGGCGUCCCAUCCUCGGGUCCAUAUCGGGGCGCUAUUUUUCUCUUGUGCAACCGGAACGUGAGGGAGGUAAUGUAGUUGUCGUUGUAGGUGCCCUCGACAGCUUCAAUGUAGUCAUCAUCAUCGAUUAAAACCUAUAACAAAAAACCUAUAUUAUAGAUCAUGAGUUAGAAAAAUAAAAUAAGAAAACUCACGUCAUCAUAUGUAAUAUGUGUUGCAUUCCCGUGAACGGCUCCGAUUACAACUGCCUUGUUGUUGGAGUAAUCAAAUUUGACAAAGGCCACGCCAGUAUCACUUUGUCCUACACUUAUUUUCUUCACAUUAUCGAAGAAGCCAUCGUCCCAUUCGUUUUCUCCAACUCCAUUGGUCGCUUCUACUCCUCUGGGGAAUACAAAAUGGGACUUGGCAUCGUUCGCCCCAGUAGGAAGUGGAACGAAACUCGGAUAGUAGGUAAGAUGACGAGUUCGAAACCCAACCAACUCAUUUAUUUCAAUUUCGUGAAACUUAUCUCCCUUGACAAUAUAAAUACACGUAUUUCCGUUUUCAUUAAUGCAACACAAUGCGAGACCAUUACUUUUCUCGUCGAUGAAGUAACUUGGUCUUUCUGAGUCGUCAACUAGUAUAUUUGACCAUAUAGGAACUAGCACAUUCAUGAACUUCAUCCACUCUACGGAUUCUCCAUCCCCAUUUUUAAUCGUAUCUUUUGUCACCCAAAUCUCAAUAUUCCUUGUGUUCCAGUCUUGCUCUAAAAUAGAAAAUCGAUCUCUCCUAUAAAUCUCAAGAACUCUAACAUUUGAUAGAUCGUUUUUGCCAGGCAAGUUACAAUAGGGUUUGAGACUUUCAAUAGAAAAAUCAAAACUUAGAAUAAAAGGCUGGCGUGCACUUUUUUUAACAGCAAUCCAAUACAAAGUUCCAUUCAGAGAUAUAGUAUAGCUACCCCAAACCAUACUCCAGCUAUGGGAUGAAAACUCGUACGAUUUCCAUGCAUUGGAUCCAACCUCCGUGGUAUUAACAUACCUGGUGUCAUAAUUCAUACGAGACCCAAAGAGCUUGUAAUGGUUGUCGGGUUUACUAUAGUCGUAUCCCAUCCCAAUGAACCAACAAAAUGAUGGUUUCGAUUUGAUCCAUCUAAUACGUCUUAACCAUGGGUUGCAAAUCCCGAAGCCCGUAGAUGUGGCAUAAAUCAAUAAUCCCUCGCAAUAGUGCAUUCUCAUGACCAUCCUAUGUUCAUAGUUGGGAAUAUCGGAGGGUAAGUCAUGCACUUCUAUAGAUGGACCGUCGAAAUUAACGUCUACUGAACAAGUCUUAGAUUCGGAAAUCAAGACGAACUGUGGACGAGCCAAAUGAUUGUUAAUGAACUUCAAAUCAUUUAAAAGAGUGUUCCAUCGUUUGCAAACAGAUCUGAAUCGAGCUACAGAUUUCAGUGGAAUCCGAGAGAGUAUACUUUCCUCCAGUUCCCACAAAAGAUGCUCUUGCUGCAUUAUAUUAUCUGUUAUGGGCUAGGUUUGUGACAAAAUAAUCAUUUACAUCACAAUUUGAUUAUAUAUAGAUGGAUCUGUAUAGGAGGAAUUUGUAAAUUACAUUGGAAAUAUUAGUCCAUAUAUAAACAAGGAAAAUAGCAGUGCGUGGAGAAUGAACAAGAGAACAAAAUCCUUUUGUUUUCAGAAUUAACUAGAGUUGGUAAGAGAUAUUAAAAAAAAUUAACUUAGAACACAUCCAAUGAAAGAUUUUCUACAGAUUAUCAUCCAAAAAUGAAUGAAAAUGAAAAAGAAGAAGAAAAGUAUCUCAUUUGAGAACUCAUGAGAUAUUCUUCCUAAUAGGUGGUCAUCUUUUAAUUAAUCUAUUUAUGUUUAGUAUUAAAUUUAAACAAAAGAUCAGAUUAUGUUAAAAUAUGAUAAAUUUUAGAUACUAAUUUCAAGAAGCUUUAUGGUAGGCAUGCAUAAAGAAACUUUAUGGAUAGGCACACAAAAAUCAAAUAAUUAAUCUGGAUUGGAUGUUAGUCACUGGACCUAUAUAAAAAAAGUAAUAAUUAUAGUCACUAGAUUUAUAUCCAAAAUAAAAAGUUAUAUAACUUAAAAUAUAAAAUAAAUCCGCAAAGAAAAAUAUAUAUAAAAAUAAUUAAAUUAAAAGUUCAAAAAUAAUAAAAUCUUUGACUAUGACUGAUCAUUUGUUUUGCUUAAACUUAUAACCUCUUAUGUAAUUGAAAUAUUAGGGAAGAUAUUUUUAAAAAAAGAUCUUCGUAUUAAUUUUGUUUACAAAGACAUGUGGAAAAACAUAAGAACAAAAUAAAUACAAAUGAACUGAAAAUAAAUCAACUACUUCCCGGUCCACUCAGAACGGGUUAGUCGAAACCCUAAUUCAAAAUACAAAGGAAAAAAAACAGAUUAGCCGCCACCAGCCAACCCAACACAGUAGGAAUGAACUUUCAGAUUUCAUUUUAGGGUCAGUUUGGAUUUACAUGUUUUGGAAGCAAAAAUUUAGUCUCAUUCAGAUAUUGUAAUAGUUCAAUUGGUGGCGGUUCGGUUUCACUCGGGUUUGGUCGGAUAUAGUGACAUAUUGGAAAUAUGGUUAAACUCCAAAAUACAUAUCUAAGUUCACAAUUUGAAUGUUUUUGAAAACUUACAUUGACAAAGACUUUGUGGCAUGAUUAAAAAGUGGUUGUUAAAAAAGGAAAAAUUCCAUAAAAAUACCCCAACUAAAUUGUCACUGACUCGUCUUGCAGAAAUAUUCCUCUGCUUCACCUCGAGGAUGUUCCUCUGCUUGAGCUUGGCUCACUUGGAGUCCUCUAGCAAUAUUAUCUUCCGUCUCCAUUGAUUAUUUCCUUCUCCAACACUCUUACAGACCAAAUAAUCUUCAUAUACUGGCUCCUUGCUUGUAACCCAUGAAAGCAGUCUACAAAAGAGAUGAAAAAGAAACAUGAUGAUUUAACAAACAUAUAUGAUUCAAGUGUAACCCACAUUAAACCAUAUCACGACAUACAUGGUAACAUGGAUCCCGCAAGAACAGAUAUAGAAGUGAGAACAUAUAUUUGACAAUAUUGUUCUGUAAGGUCGUGAUGUAAGGAGCAGUAUCUCUUCACGUUUAUUAACAACACUAUGAUAAGUAUUAUGAGAAACAAACUAAGCAGGCUUUGUUCUUAAACAGCACCAAGCACACUGCUCAAUCAGAAAAAAUAAUAAGGCAUAUGAGGAGACCUAGAGCCGUUCGCAAAAGAGUAGACGAAGUGAAUCAUUCUUAGAACUGACGCUUGUUUCUUUUUAAGAAUCUACAUCAGAUUUCAUAAAAUAAUCAGAGUAGGAUGAAAGCAAAAACUUUAAAACGAAUCGUCCAACUACCAAGAUUUUAGGUACUAACGCUUACAAAAUAAUUACGCAGAGCCUCCUUAGUUGUUGCUGCUGGCGACCGGAUGAGCCAAUUGUGCAAAUAUAAGGCCCGAUUAGAAACAAAGCCCAUCCGUAUGUAGUCUGAAUUUAAUGAAACGCUGUGUAUUGAUUGUUCUCCCACGUGGCGCGCCUAGGAUCACUGACUUUCUGAUCUGGAAUCCUAGGUGGCAGCAUGAGAAGAGAGAAAACACUUUUAUAUAUAUACAGAAAAAAAAUAAUAUUUAGUUUUCUCUCAAUUUGUGAAAACUAUUUUAAAAUAUAUUUAUUAUUCAGUUUUGUUAUUUUUAUUAAAACAUAUAUUUUUUAUUAAAAAACAUAUGUUUAUCUAAAUGUUUACUAAAAUAAUAUGUUUUGUUAUUUUCAUUUACUCUUUAAAACUAUUAUUUUUGGAAAUUUUUUAUUUUUAUAGAGAACUAAUGAAGAUUUUGGAUAAUGAUUUAAAAAUUAGGAUACAUUUUUUUUAUAUAGAUGGGUAUCCUUUCAGAAAUUUUAAUCAAUAAGUUGCAUUUUCAAAACUUUUUUUUUAAAUUGCUAUUUUGGAAAAUUUUCAUUUUAUAGAGAACUACUGUAGAUUUAAGCUUUGGAUUUAGAAAUUAGGAUAACAAGAAUUUUUGUUGAUAGAUGAGUAUACUUUCAUAAUUUUCACCAAUAGGUUGCAUUUUUUAAAUAAUUAUUUUCUUAGAGAUUUUUCAUUUUUAUAGAGAACUAUUGUUGAUAACAAUAAUUUUUGAUGAUCGAUAAGUAUUCUUUCAGAUUUUUUCACGAAUAGAUUGCAUUAUUAAAAUAAUAUUUUUAAAAGCUGCUAUUUUUGGAAAUUUUUCAUUUUUAUAGGGAACUAUUGUAGAUUUCGAAUUAUGAUUCAAAAAUUAAGAUAACAAGAUUUUUGUUGAUAGAUGAGUAUUCUUUUAUAAUUUUUUAGCAGCUGGUUGUAUUUUUUAAAUAUAUUUUUUUAAACUGUUAUUUUUGGCAAGUUUUCAUUUUUAUAGAGAACUAUUGUAGAUUUGAGAUUCUGAUUCAGAAAUUAGGAUAACAAGAAUUUUUGUUGAUGGAUGAGUAUUCUUUCGGAAUUUUUCAUCAAUUGGUUGCACUUUUUAAAUCAUUUUUUUAACUGCUAUUUUUGGAAAGUUUUCAUUUUUUUUAAAGAGAACUAUUGUAUAUUUGAGUUUUUAAUUAGAAAUUAGGAGAACAAGAAUUGUUUUUGAUAGAUGAGUAUUCUUUCAGAAUUUUACAUCAAUAAGUUGUAUUUUAAAAAUAUUUUUUUAAACCGUUAUUUUGGAAUAUUUUCAUUUUAUAGAAAACUAUUUUGGUUGGAGUUUGGUUUAGAAAUUAGGAUAACAAUAAAUUUUUUGAUAGAUGAGCAUUCUUUCAGAAUUUUUAAUCAAUAGGUUGCUUUUUAAAAAUAUUUUUUUUAAAAUAAUUUUUUUUUAAAAAUUGCUUUUUUUUUUGAAAGUUUUCAAUUUUUCAGGGAAUCAUUGUAGAUUUAAGGUUGCGAGUUAGAAAUUAGGAUAACAAAAAUUUAACAGAUAAAUGAAUAUUUUUUUUAAGAAUUUUUCACUAAUAGAUUGCAAUUUUAAAAUAUUUUUUUUAAACUGUUAUAUUUUUUAUUGAGAACAAUCGUAGAUUUGGCAUUCUGAUUUAGAAAUUAAGAUAAACGAGUUUUUUUUUAUAAUAGUUUAUUGUUAUCAUGUAUGUAGUAAUACCCUUCAAGUCUUUAUACACAAACUACCCUAAUUAAUAUAACCAUUCAAAAUAACGCAAUCAAAUAAACGAUUAUGUUUACCUACCAAUGCGAAGAUGAAUGAUGGAUCCGAUCCUUACUCUUUAGUUUUGCGCAGUGGCGGACCCAUUCACACAAAAGAGAUGUCAACUGACACCGUAUAAAUUACAAAAGUUGAUUAUAGUCACUUCAAAAUUUACCAUCACAUGACCCCUGUAAAAUUGGCUUGAUGACCCCGCUAGUUUUUUCGGGAGUCUGUGCUUUUUAUAUCCACAUCUCAGAGUUUACACAAGACAAAGUAUAAAUGAGCAAAAACAAUAAUCUUGCAUUGCUGUCUUUUUGCUUCAAGAAGAGUUGAUUCUUUCAAAGUAUCAGUAGAAUCAAGUGAUCAUAUUUAAUUUGGAUAUAUAGUGCCACAGACUGCAAGUAGAAGGCGGUUGGCCAAUCAGGGAAGACUUCUUGCGCAAUCAUCCCAUCGUAAAGAGCUCGAUCUGGUUGAUUGCAGAAUAAAUAGCAUAGACUACGCCUCGCAUAAACACUUGGGUACACCGUUCUCCUAGAAUCAAUGAACUGAGAAUAACAGUGAAUGGCGGUUUCAAAGUCUUGCUCUAGGAAGGCUUGAUCACCAUGUUUUCGAACCUCUUGAAUAUCUUUUACCUCUUCCAUCCAUUCUUCGAAAGAGUCUGUGCUUUUGUUUUUUCUUCUACACAGGUUCAUUUACUCUUUUUAUUCUUUCUUCAACCGAUGCUUACUAAAAAUGUAAUUUGUUAUGAUAAAGUUUCCAGUUUUGUACUCUCUUCUUAUAUUUUAUUUAUUAUUUUCCGGUUAAAACUCUUUAUUGCUGCUUUAAAUCUUUCAACCACCGUUCCACAAAGAUGAGUAGAUUUCAUAUCACAAAAACUAGAUUUCGUGUGGCAUAAGAUAUGGUCCGUUAGAAAUGUCGCUAUAUAUAAGUCCGUUUCCGCCUAAGAUUUACUCAGUAUCACACAACAAAUUUAUCCCUCUCUCUCUUUAAUUGUUAUAUCUCUAUCUCUCUGUGUGAAAGAACACAAUGGCACAACAAAGGAUGGGUCCUUCUGGAUUUCAACUCGCUGGAGACAACAGUUUCGACGACGGUGCACUAGACUUCGACGGCGUAAAGAAUGUGUCCAUUGGGGUUCGUGAAAAACAAAUCGUUUAUAUAAGCUUAACGUACUCAAGGGGCGAAAAUAAGGAGACGAUCACCCACGGAGAACAACCUAACGAGAACAUGGAGGUUCUGUCUCUACACACCCUUUUUCAUCUCUUUUACAUACGCAUGCAGUCGAUCGAUAUUGCCAAUUACUUUAAAUGCAUUUAAUUUAUGUAUGCAGAUCACGUUUGGAAAAGGUGAAGGGUAUUGUAAGACUGUCGGAGGCAUUUACAAACGUGGAACUCCGCAGCUUCCAACAGGGUAUAUUAGCAACUUGUAUUUUGUAACCUCCAAAGGACAGAAGACGGAAUCGUACGUUCGAGCCGCUGCAGAUGAGUCGGAUGAGGCUUUCAGUUUCACUGCGGAUGGGGAAACCCAAUUGGUUGGAUUAUUCGGACGGUUCGGGCAGAAAGGAUUAAUCACGAUAGGGGCGUUGUUUGCACCAGAAUGAAGCCAAGAUUAAAGAAGUAAGCAAAGAUGAAGGAAGAAGCUGAUAUAAUUAUAUAAAGAAACAUAUACAGAAAAAUAAACAUGUAUGGAGUUACGUACAUCAAAGUAACAAAAUAUUGUUAGCAAAAAAAAAAGUAAUAAAAUAUCAGUAUUUAUUUUAAGGCAACAGUGUAGAAUUUCAGCAUUAUUUCAACCCGUACGCAAAUAUUUUCUUUAUAUAUUAUAAAUUUCAAUUAUUUUAUAACAUUUUAGGAGUAGUUUACUCAAUCAGAACACUUAACAAAAAUUAUUGCGUCAGCUACUUUUGUCGAAGGUGCUUGAACUAUAAACAAGCUUAAUUAGGUUAUGGACUAAACUAAAGUUCUUAAGGGAUAUUUUUAAUUAACUGGAUACACUUCUUUUUUUCUGUUGAACGAACUGGAUACACUCUUUCUGAGUCCUCUUUUGUUGACAUCAUUUAACACCACCGAGUCUCUAAACUACUAUAUAUAACAUGCGUGUUUUUCAAUUCUUUUAAUUUUUGAAAAACAAAACACAUACCAACAAUUAUAUUUAGUUAUAAUUAGGUUAAAUAAAAAUGACUGUUGGUUGGAUUAUUUUAGUUAUUUGAUUGCAUUAAUUUGAAUGGCUGUUUUGAUUCUAAGAAAAUCUAUUAAAACGAGAAUGUAUGGAACAAUUACAGAACAAUUUGAAUAAUUAUAUUAAUUCGAGUAUAGUUAUUAAACGAAUACUUGUGAGGGCAUUACUAAAAUGUAACUAUACUAAGAGGAUCUUUAAAUUUAGUCAUCUAAAUGUCCGAACACGAGUCUACGACAUGAAAUACAAGAAAACAAAACAUCUAUUAACUCACUCACCUUGUCGGUAUAUUUUGUUAAUUAACCAUGGAAUUUAUUUAUGGGCUUAUUUAAUUUGUUUAAUAACCAAAAAAGUGAAAAUUAGUUUUGUAGAGAAAGAGAAUAGAGAGAGAUAGGAAGAGAAAAACAGAGAAAGAAAGAGAGACAGUGUGUGUUUUGGUUACUUAGCAAAUUUGUUUUUUUUUUUUGUGGUUAUAGAGUGUAGUUCUGCUUAUUUAUUAACAAGGGAAAUUGCACCUUAUAUACAUGAAAAAACAUAAAUACACUGAUUAACCAAAAUCUCCCUCUCUCUCCUAUUUUCUCUUCCUAUCUCUCUCUACUCUCUCUCUCAAAAUCUAAAUUUUCUUUUUUUUUUUGGUUAUUUGGCAAAUAAGCCCUAUUAACAAAUGAUCAACAGUUGACCAAAAACAUUAUUUAUAAUCAGCAAAAAUAAAUUUCACCUUAUAAUUUUUUUAUUCAAUCAUGGGUCAGUAAUAGUUAGAUUUUAAAUAAAUGAUAUAAAUAAGUAACUAUGGGCUGGACAUCACAAUUGGUUGCAUUAAACUAAUUUGGGUUACUGUAUUUGGUAGAGUAAUUAACUGUUUACGAAGAUUAGAUGUUUUGAAAAAAUCUUUCACCUUUUAUACUACUAUGAGCAUCAUUAAUAAUAGGUUUUUAUUUUUUGUCAAAAUAAUAGGUUUCUGAAACUGAAUCUCUGAAUAUAAAUUUAAGAAUAUUUAACAUAAGACAAUUUUUUAAUUAAAACUAAAAAUUUGCUGGAUUGACAUAUGUAUAAUAUAUACUAUUAAAAAGGGAUUAUCUUAGAAAUCUAUUAUACAAAGAUUAGAUUGUUGCACUUACUCAUUAACUAUUUAUUAUUUCAAAUCAUAUUUUUAUUUUCUGUAGCUAUAAAAUAUUUUAAAUUAAAUAAUUUAUUACUCCUUGUUAUAUUUACGAAACUAAUUAUAGGAACCACAUUUAUGAAUGGAAUUUCACAAAAUUGCAUAGAGUAAUAAAUGAAAUCAAAUGAAUUUAAUAAAAUAAAUGUAGAUUGAUAAAGUUAUAUAAGGAAACUUGUGUUUGUAACUAAAUAUUUCCAUUGCUGAUUUUCAGUAUAAUAGGAUACAUUAAUUAUGUUUUAAUCUAAGGCUGUGGUAUGACUUUAAAUAUUUGCAAAACACAGCAAUGCCUAAAAAAAGUCUUGGUUUUAAUUGUAUUGAUGAAUAGAUUUUAUCUCUCUCUAGUCGAGUUAUCUUCUUAUUUUUUGUUUAACUAACCCCCAAGUAUUAAGAAACAAAAACAAAAGAAAAACUAACCCAAGUUAGAAGCCCACUCAAUUAACCCAAUCCCGACUCAGUGAUAAGCAAACUACCGAUAUAUUCAAUUCAGUUUAACACUAAAUUUAAAAUGUUUAAGCCAAUGAUGUGAAAACAAACGGUAGGUAUAUUUCUGAAAUAUGUUUCUCUGGAGUAUUUAAGGUUUUAUUAUACAGAGGACCUCUAUUGCAGAGUUCACUAGUAUCUCAUGAAUUAAUUUAAAAUGUUAUUACUGUUUAAUUAAAUUUAUAUUUUAUCACUAGUAUUAAAUUUAUACUUUAAAUAUUUUAAAGUAUUUUUAAAUAUUUUAGAUGUAGCUUCAACAUUAAUAUAGUUACUCGAUUAUAUGUUUAAAUUUAUUUGAUAAACAAAAGGAUAAAGCCUUUCUGUAAUGAAAAUACAUCUUAUCUAUUAAUUUCACUGCUAGCUACAAAUAAAAAUGGUAAAAUAAUAAGUCUUUCUAACAUUAUGUUUAAACAUCACUAUAAAUAAUGAUGCAGUAAUAUUUUUAAAUGUUUGGUAGGAAAUAAAAAAUCUAGAAGGGGACGUUGCGAUGGACACCGAAAGCGGUGAGGUAGACAUCAGUGUUUCUUCCGUAAAACCCGAUUAUCUUCCUGCCUCCUCCUCCUCGGAGCACAAAUGGCGUCCCAUCCUCGGGUCCAUAUCGGGGCGCUAUUUUUCUCUUGUGCAACCGGAACGUGAGGGAGGUAAUGUAGUUGUCGUUGUAGGUGCCCUCGACAGCUUCAAUGUAGUCAUCAUCAUCGAUUAAAACCUAUAACAAAAAACCUAUAUUAUAGAUCAUGAGUUAGAAAAAUAAAAUAAGAAAACUCACGUCAUCAUAUGUAAUAUGUGUUGCAUUCCCGUGAACGGCUCCGAUUACAACUGCCUUGUUGUUGGAGUAAUCAAAUUUGACAAAGGCCACGCCAGUAUCACUUUGUCCCACACUUAUUUUCUUCACAUUAUCGAAGAAGCCAUCGUCCCAUUCGUUUUCUCCAACUCCAUUGGUCGCUUCUACUCCUCUGGGGAAUACAAAAUGGGACUUGGCAUCGUUCGCCCCAGUAGGAAGUGGAACGAAACUCGGAUAGUAUGUAAGAUGACGAGUUCCAAACCCAACCAACUCAUUUAUUUCAAUUUCGUGAAACUUAUCUCCCUUGACAAUAUAAAUACACGUAUUUCCGUUUUUAUUAAUGCAACACAAUGCGAGACCAUUACUUUUCUCGUCGAUGAAGUAACUUGGUCUUUCUAAGUCGUCAACUACUAUAUUUGACCAUAUAGGAACUAGCACAUUCAUGAACUUCAUCCACUCUACGGAUUCUCCAUCCCCAUUUUUAAUCGUAUCUUUUGUCACCCAAAUCUCAAUAUUCCUUGUGUUCCAGUCUUGCUCUAAAAUAGAAAAUCGAUCUCUCCUAUAAAUCUCAAGAACUCUAACAUUUGAUAGAUCGUUUUUGCCAGGCAAGUUACAAUAGGGUUUGAGACUUUCAAUAGAAAAAUCAAAACUUAGAAUAAGAGGCUGGCGUGCACUUUUUUUAACAGCAAUCCAAUACAAAGUUCCAUUCAGAGAUAUAGUAUAGCUAGAGCAAAUCAUACUCCAGCUAUGGGAUGAAAACUCGUACGAUUUCCAUGCAUUGGAUCCAACCUCCGUGGUAUUAACAUACCUGGUGUCAUAAUUCAUACGAGACCCAAAGAUCUUGUAAUGGUUGUCGGGUUUACUAUAGUCGUAUCCCAUCCCAAUGAACCAACAAAAUGAUGGUUUCGAUUUGAUCCAUCUAAUACGUCUUAACCAUGGGUUGCAAAUCCCGAAGCCCGUAGAUGUGGCAUAAAUCAAUAAUCCCUCGCAAUAGUGCAUUCUCAUGACCAUCCUAUGUUCAUAGUUGGGAAUAUCGGAGGGUAAGUCAUGCACUUCUAUAGAAGGACCGUCGAAAUUAACGUCUACUGAACAAGUCUUAGAUUCGGAAAUCAAGACGAACUGUGGACGAGCCAAAUGAUUGUUAAUGAACUUCAAAUCAUUUAAAAGAGUGUUCCAUCGUUUGCAAACAGAUCUGAAUCGAGCUACAGAUUUCAGUGGAAUCCGAGAGAGUAUACUUUCCUCCAGUUCCCACAAAAGAUGCUCUUGCUGCAUUAUAUUAUCUGUUAUGGUCUAGGUUUGUGACAAAAUAAUCAUUUACAUCACAAUUUGAUUAUAUAUAGAUGGAUCUGUAUAGGAGGAAUUUGUAAAUUACAUUGGAAAUAUUAGUCCAUAUAUAAACAAGGAAAAUAGCAGUGCGUGGAGAAUGAACAGGAGAACAAAAUCCUUUUGUUUUCAGAAUUAACUAGAGUUGGUAAGAGAUAUUAAAAAAAUUAACUUAGAACACAUCCAAUGAAAGAUUUUCUACAGAUUAUCAUCCAAAAAUGAAUGAAAAUGAAAAAGAAGAAGAAAAGUAUCUCAUUUGAGAACUCAUGAGAUAUUCUUCCUAAUAGGUGGUCAUAUUUUAAUUAAUCUAUUUAUGUUUAGUAUUAAAUUUAAACAAAAGAUCAGAUUAUGUUAAAAUAUGAUAAAUUUUAGAUACUAAUUUCAAGAAGCUUUAUGGUAGGCAUGCAUAAAGAAACUUUAUAGAUAGGCACACAAAAAUCAAAUAAUUAAUUUGGAUUGGAUGUUAGUCACUGGACCUGUAUAAAAAAAGUAAUAAUUAUAGUCACUAGAUUUAUAUCCAAAAUAAAUAGUUAUAUAACUUAAAAUAUAAAAUAAAUCCGCAAAGAAAAAUAUAUAUAAAAAUAAUUAAAUUAAAAAAUCAAAAAUAAUAAAAUCUUUGAUUAUGACUGAUCAUUUGUUUUGCUUAAACUUAUAACCUCUUAUGUAAUUGUAAUAUUAGGGAAGAUAUUUUAAAAAAAAAGAUCUUCGUAUUAAUUUUGUUUACAAAGACAUGUGGAAAAACAUAAGAACAAAAUAAAUACAAAUGAACUGAAAAUAAAUCAACAACUUUCCGGUCCACUCAGAACGGGUUAGUCGAAACCCUAAUUCAAAAUACAAAGGAAAAAAACAGAUUAGCCGCCACCAGCCAACCCAACACAGUAGGAAUGAACUUUCGGAUUUCAUUUUAGGAUCAGUUCGGAUUUACAUGUUUUGGAAGCAAAAAUUUAGUCUCAUUCAGAUAUUGUAAUAGUUCAAUUUGGUGGCGGUUCGGUUUCACUCGGGUUUGGUCGGAUAUAGUGACAUAUUGGAAAUAUGGGUAAACUCCAAAAUACAUAUCUAAGUUCACAAUUUGAAUGUUUUUGAAAACUUACAUUGACAAAGACUUUGUGGCAUGAUUAAAAAGUGGUUGUUAAAAAAGGAAAAAUUCCAUAAAAAUACCCCAACUAAAUUUUGCUAUGUUUUUUAAUACCCAAACCAUUUCGGUACCUACUUUAAUAUCUCAACUAAUUAUUUUACCAAUUUUAAUACACAAAAUUUUAAAAUUGUGCUCAUUUUAAUACCCAAAUUUUAUUUUUUAAUCAAAAAUACUAAUAAGUUCAAAAUAAAUUGAAAAAGUCUCUAAAAUUUUUAAUUUUGUUUUUAAAAUUCCCACUUUUAUUUUAAAUUAUAGGAAAGAAAGUAACUAAAUUAUGGAGAAUGAUGCAUAAUUCUAUACAAAUAGAAUUUUUAGAGAAUUAUUGUAUAUUUAGGAUUAUGGUUUAUAAAUUAGGAUAAAAAGAAUUUUUGUUGAUAAACGAGUAUUCUUUCAGAAUUUUUCAUCAAUAGGUUGCAUUUGCAAAAUAUUUCUUUAAGAACUAUUAUUUUCGAAAGUUUUCAUUUUUAUAGAGAAAUUUAUAUAUUUGGGAUUCUAAUUUAUAAAUUAGGAUAACAAAAAAAUUUUAUGAAAGAUGAGUAUUUUUUCAGAAUGUUUCAUGAAUAUGUUGCAUUUUUUUAAUAUUUUUUAAAAAAACUUGAUUUUUUUUUAUUUUAAAGAGAACUAUUGUAGAUUUUGGAUUCUAAUUUAAAAAAUAGGAUAAAAAGAAUUUUUGUUGAUAGAUGAAUAUUUUUUCAGAAUUUUUCAUCAAUAGGUUGUAUUUUUUUUAAUAUUGUUUUUAAAACUGCUAUAUUUGGAAAGUUUUCAUUUUUAUAUUGAACUAUUGUAGAUUUGACAUUGUGAUAUAGAAAUUAGGAUACGAACUUUUGAUUAUAGAUGAGUAUUCUUUCAGAAUAUAUAAUCAAUAGAUUGUAUUUUAAAAUAUUUUUUAAAAAACUGCUAUUUUUGGAUAGUUUUCAUUUUUUAUAGAUAACUAAUAAAUAUUUGGGAUUCUAAUUUAGAAAUUAGGAUAACAAAUUUUUUUAUGGUAGAUGAGUAUUCUUUCAAAAAAAUUUAUCAAUAGGUUGCAUUUUUUAAGUAUUUUUCUAAAAAAUUAUUAUUCUUAGAAAGGUUUUAUUUUUAUAAAAAACUAAUGUAGAUUUUGAUUUUGAUUUAAAAAUUAGGAUAAAAACAAUUUUUUUGAUAGAUGGGUAUCCUUUCAGUAUUUUUAAUCAAUAUUUUGCAUUUUCAAAUAAAAAAAUAAUAAUUGCUAUUUUGGAAAAAAAAAUCAUUUUAUAGAGAACUAUUGUAGAUUUGGGCUUUGGAUUUAGAAAUUAACAAGAAUUUUGUUGAUAGAUGAAAAUUUUGUUGAUAGAUGAAAAUCCUUUCAUGAUUUUUAAUCAAUAAGUUGCAUUUUCAAAUAUUUUUUAAAAAAUAAUUGCUAUUUUGGAAAUUUUUAUUUUAGAAAUUAGGAUAACAAGAGUUUCUGUUGAUAGAUGAGUAUUCUUUUACAAUUUUUAAUCAAUAGGUUUUAUUUUUUAAAUAUUUUUUCAAACUAAUAUUUUUGGAAAGUUUUCAUUUUUAUAGAGAAUUAUUAUAAUCUGCUAUUUUUGGAAAAUAUGUUUAUUUUAUUUAUAAUAUUAUAAUCUAUUAUAAAAAAAUAUAAGUAGCCAAACAAUUAUAAAAUCAUUUUAAAUUAUUCACUGUUUUUGUUUUUUACGCAUUUCAAAAAUUUUACUAUCCAUUUUUUUGUUAUUAGAAAUUAUAUAUAAGGUGAUGAGUAGAAUAAACAAAAAUAAUUAAUUUUUAGUUACUGUGUUUAGUUGGUUGAACUGUAUAAAUGUUUCAUUUCACUUAAAUCUGUUUAUGAAUUUUGUUUCCAAUUAGUAUCCAAAUAGUUUAAUGGACCCUCCCCUUAAAUCUACAACCCUACAUUUUUAUGUUUUAUUUUUUCUUAAAUCAGCAGUUUAAAAUUUUUCAUAUUUUUAGAUAAAAAAAACUUCAACUAAUCGGGACCCAUUAUCUAAAUAUUCUUUUUAUCUUACUUAUAUAAGUUUUGAUGUAAAAUAUUAUAAAAUGUAUAACCAAUUAAACUGAUUCAACAAAUAAUAGCGACAAAAUGAUUUGGAGAUAUAAUUGUAGAUCUUUGUAACAUUAUGUCUAAUUUGGUGGAGUGUGAAAGUCGUGUUGACAUUGAGUGCAACGCGUGGUAUAAUGUUUGGGCCGUUUACUAAUUUUCUUUGGGGCUUCGAACUAAUUGUGUUGGGUUGUAGGUAUAUGGUUUUAGAUUUUGUGUUAUUUUUGUUCCAACAGAAUUGUAAAAUCAUUAUUAGUUAGGACAUUGUUUAAUUUCCUAUUGAUUUUAAUGUUUUAUUUUAUAGGAUAUUACAAAUAAAUUGUGAACUUCACAUUGUUAGAUAUUUUAGUUAUGUUUUUAAGAGUGUGUUCAAUAAUAAAAUGAAGAAAGUUACGAUUAGUUUUAAGUAUGAGGCAAUUUUGGUUGCCUUGCGGUUAAAAGAUCAUGUAAGAUUUGUAUAAUUGUGUUGAGGAUUCUAAGAACUUCCAAAGCUCUGAUUGUUGUAUGCUAUAUUUGCAUUUGGAAAUAAUGCAUAUGAUAAUAGUAUUUCGUGGGAGGAGUUGAUUCUAGGAAAUGAACUAAAAGAAGAAUUAAAUGCGAUGAGUUAUUUUGUUUGCUCUGGAGAAGAAGUGUUGAGGUGACAUAUUUGAUACGCUACGUGGACUUUAAAUGGUGUUGAAGUUGUUGGCCUUUUGAAACUUCCAGUCCAUAAUUGGGGAGGUUACUGUUCUUGUGUUAUGGGAUUGCAAAAAUUGGUAAUUUUAUUUUAAUAUAAGUAUGUUUGUAGAAAGAGUUUGGGCCUUACCCAGGAAAAAGAGUAAUAACUGUCAGCUUAUUAUCAUUAGAUCUUCUUAAAAGGCCAUGUUCACCUUUAUCGAAGAAAGAGUGAUAUUUGCCAAAGAAACAUAACUUAAGUUCAGAUAGUAUCGUAGUGUUUUUGAUACUUUGUCUAAACAUCCAAGAUGGCAAAGGGCUUCAUAGUGGUAAGUGGUAAGAGACCUUACCAAGCUUACUUGCGCCAGAAGGUAAUGCAUAUACUAACAAUGUGUAUGUUUAGACAGUCCCUGUCUCAUUAGUGUACAAUAUUCUCAUCGUUUGUUUUAUGUUGAGAACCAAAGACAUAAUCACUUUUAUUAAACCAAAUGAAUUGCACGGCUAGCUUGCACAUAAUCAAAAUAGAGAUUAUGCAAGAAGCAUCGAAAAUGAAAACAAAAACUGGAUUUGUUUGAAUGCUCUCAUGUCAUAAUUUCUUUCAAAACAAAAUUUGUAGAAAUAUGUUAUCAGCAGAAAAGGUCGUAUAUGUAAGGAACAGUAUAUGGAUUGUUCUUCAUCUUGAUCUGUCUCAUAAUUUAAGGAGCAGUAUACCUGAAGAGUUUAUUAAUAACACUAUGAUAAGUAUUAUGAGAAACAAAAUAAAGCAUCUCGAUGUAUAUAAAUAAAAUCAUGUACACAAAAAGAAUUGUUAGGAAUGCCUGUUAAGUUUUUUUAUGACAGGACCAGUGUCUUCUUACCUUCUUUGGUGUUGUAAUGAUAAACUCGUUAAACAACAACUCUCAUGGUGCUCAACUUCUUUUCUUCAUCUCUAUCAAUCGAGUCAUCAUCUCAACGUAAGCCUAUGAGACAGACUUUCACUAUCCUAUUCUUCAUGACAUUUUUCCCAACAAUAUUAUUUCUAUGGUAGUCACUAGUCAUCUUCUCUUACUUGGCUGAAGAAGAUAACGAUGAUUUAUAGAUUCACCGUCUCGUUUUUCGUAUACAUAUAAAUUGUUCAGACAUACCUCACUCAUCAAAGAGACCCUCUUGAAUAAUUUGUUUUAUACUGAUCAAACACCAAUUAACAAGACAACACACAGUUUAAAUUUGAUUAGGCAAAAUAAAUAAAACGAACAAGAGCUCGGAUUCACGGUUGUUCGCCACGUGUUUUUCUCUCAAUCAUCUCCUUUUGCUUCUCCGCGAGCUUAUCCAAAGCAGACGAAACGGCGUCGCUUCCACCGAUCAGCAACCUCGUGACAAUCUCCGGAUCCGUCUCGAAUCGCGCCGCCUCGAACUCCUUCCUAGCGUUCUCUCUCAGCACGUCUCUCCACAGGACCCCCCUCGAAUCCGUCCACGUGUAGAACCGAGUCGCGCGCAAUAUGUCCCGGUACAAACUCAGCGCCUCGCGGCGCGUGCUCGUCAGACGCCGCCUGUUCAGAUACUCGGCUUCGUCGUCGUUGAUCAGCGGUGGUUUCUCUUUCUUCGCGAGGUGUCUAUCGAGGAGCUCCUCCAUGGUGUCGGGACCUUCGUGGAGGAGCCGUCUCGUCGAUAGAGCGUCUCUCCGAGAGAUCAGAUCUAUACGACUUGACAGGUUUCGCCAUUUCUGAAGAUUCGAAGCCAUCAAGCGUUGAGAAACUUCGUCGUCUCCGAGUGACGACGACGACAAUAAGCAAACUGGGCUUAAAAGGCUGUGAAUAGCUUAAUGAGUCAUAAUGGGCCUUUAUAAAGCCCAUCUAACUAGUAAGCUAACUACAACUCUGGAACGUAAGCAUAGUCAACAUUCAUACUAUUUUGACCAUGGUAACCUAGCUACUUGCCUUGCAUGUCCAACAUCUAAUCUAGUCCUUCAAGUUUAGCUCUUUGUAAACUUAUUCUUAUCAUUUACAGAAUCUAUUGUUCGUCGUUGCAAUCUAUGGUCUUUCCAUCUCUUGCCUAAUAGUCUUUUUCAACUCUGCAACUAAAAUAAAAUAAUUCAACACACUUUAAAUAACAUUAAAUCAACACAAGUUUAUUAAUUAUCCUUCAUGAAUUUGGAAUAUGAAUUAUGAUAUCGUCGUCAGAACAAGAACAAGAAGAUGGGAAAAGACAGUCACGUGAGAAACAUGCAGUGAGUUAAUGAAAGAGAGUGAUAGAUUUCAAGGUUUGUUAUUAAUAAAAAAAAAUAAUGAUUCAGGCUAUUAUAUUUACUGUUGGUUGGUUUGGUACAUUUUUUGUUUUGCUUACCAACCAUCUUUAAUAAAAUUGAAGUUUGGACAUGUUUCGGUCGUUGAUAUAUUUGGAAAAAUACUAUUAUAACCAAAAAUUAAUAAGCAUACGUUUUCAGUUUAUUUUUUACUUUAUCUUUGUUUCAUUCAAGUUUAUUAAAAAUUCGGAUAUGUCACCACAAGUGAGCUGUUGUCUAUGAGCUGUUGUUAUCUAUGUAUAUGCAAGAUAUUCGCGCAUUGAAGUUAGACUUUACCUUUGUGCAAAGGGUUGAGACUUGAGAGAAAGUCCAACUUACUGGAGACUGAUGGUAAAUGUUAGGUGCAUCUGUUGACUAGCAAACCAGGCAAAAAUAAGUACUAGUAUCAAAUUGUUACCCCUAAAACAAAUAUUUCGCAUGAUUAUUGAAUGCUCCCAACUACUACUAUACGAAUGCCUCGGAACCAUCGCAGUAUUAACUUGUACCAGACAUACACCAAAAUUAAUUAGGUAGCUAUAGCUUACAAAAUAAAAUAAAAAAAGAAGUAUAUAGGUGGUUUAGUUUUAGAAUCGUGUUUGAACAGCAAUAAUACAAGUGUUCAGUUCUGAACAGUGGACACCUCUGCAUUGUCUCAAUAGUUUUUUUGUCUGUUUUGUUUCUGUCACAUUUUCGGCGUAAUUUACAAUAAUUUCGAGUUUAAAAUUCUUCGACUUUUUUGUAUUUUUGGGACCAGAGACUAUAAUACUAUUCGACUAAUCACACGCAAAAGUAAACCAUGUGAUAUUAACUAAUUCCGACCGGGGUUUAAUACUUUCAAUAAAAAAACAUACAGACACAACUAUUGGAAUGUUUCAGCGUCCAGUUUUCAUUUUCGAUUUUUGCCUGACCAUGUAAUCAGAAUAUGAUUUGGUAAUCAAACCCACGUAACAUUUUUAGAUCGUAAGAAACAAAAUCAAAAUUUGAAUUAUGUAAGCUCCACAACUACCCCCCAGUGCAUUGUCGAUGAGUUCCAACUUCUACCUUACUGCCUGAUUAUUUUUUGCAUGUGGGUCCAAAGUCCAAACUAAUCACCACCAUUUUCAAAGUAAUACUUCCUCUGUUUUUUUAUUGUAAGCAGAUUAAUUUUUUCAAAAAUAACAUUUGAAAGAUAAAUUAGAUGUAGUUAAACCAUAAAUAAGUAUAUAUUGUUUGAUUGGUAACACUAUACCCAAUAAAAAUAAAAAAUUACUUAAAAUUAUGAAAAUUAUUUAUAUUUUGAAACAAACAAAUUUUACUUUGAACUACUUAUAAUAAAAAAAAAACAGAAAGAGUACUAAUUUUGAUUUUAGGAUUAUUAAGGCCCACAUUAGAGUCUAAGCUCUCAUUAAAAAUUAGUCUAAUCGGCGUAGAAAAAAAAGGAAAGUUUACUUUGCCAUUUAGCUAGUAACAAACAACAUGCAUUAAACAUUUGAUAUCUAUAAGUCGGCCGUAUAAAACACAAAGUUCUUUCCUUUUAGCUCACAUUUGACCAAAACUCCUCCAAUCCAGACAUCAUCGUUGACUUUUUCAAACUUGUGUUCCUCCUCUCUCUUUCCUUUCUUCAAACAUCUCAUAUAACACAACACCAAGAAAAAGAACAAGAGUUCCUCUGUUCCUAUCUUCAAUUUUUGCUGUGAAUCAAUCAAUGGACAGUAAACACCAAACUUCAACUUCGAAACCAAAGAACAAGAACAAGCUCUUGAAGAUGCUUCCUAAAGCUAUGUCGUUCGGACAUCGCGUUCCACCGUUUAGUCCCGGAAGAGAUCUCCACCACCACCAUAACACGACGUCGUCUUCUUCAAACAAAGCGUAUUUCUCCGGUCCUAUGGUCCCUUUGGUUCCCAAAGCAGCUCGUGUCCGGAGAAACAAAAGCGACGCCGUCUGGAGCGAACCCACUUCGCCUAAAGUCUCUUGCAUCGGACAGAUCAAGCGCGUCAAGUCAAAACGCUCCUCCUCCCCUAAGAAAAACAUGAUUCCCAAGAUCCCCAAAACGUCGUCGUCUUCUCUAACCAAAGGAGAUGAAAAAGGUCGUGUUUCGAUGAUCAAGCGCCUCUUCUCGUUCUCCUCGGCGGCUGGAAGUGGAAACUCAUCAAGAAAAUCACGUCCCACCGCGGCCACUGAACAUCCGGUCACGGUGGUUUCAUCCGCGGCGGUGCCGUCGUUAGGUCAGAUGAAGAAGUUUGCGAGCACUCGUGAAGGUUUAGGAGGUUUUGAUUGGGCGGUUGAGAUGAAACGUGAAGAGGAAUCUCCGGCUGAUCGCGGUUACUAUUCAGACGAUGAGAGGAGAGGAGGUUUCUUGAGAGACGACGACGAGGAAGAAGAAGAGGACGAUAUAAUAAUACCGUUCUCAGCUCCGUUGAUGAGUUUGAAACCGAAGACAGAAGUUAACUUGUGGAAGAGAAGAACCAUGGAUCCACCUAAACCACUUCAUCUUCAGACCUAAUGAUUAAAAACUCUUUUAAAUUUUUUAUCUUUUUCUUUCGUUAUAUAUAUAAGUUACUGCAAACCAAAUCAUAUAACGAUCAUCAUACACUGUGAAUCUGAUGAUUAUCAUUUUUCUUCUUUAGUUAAAUUAUGUGUGAAUACCUGUUUGGGUUCAAUUUUGAUAUAUGCCACAAGUGAAAUCUCUCUCUCUGAGACUACCUUCUUGCAACUACGAUUACAAAUUAUUAUUUUUUUCUUUCUAUUGGUGACAAUGUGUAUGACAACGACCGAUGUCUUCCCACCACCAGGUUGUCCAUAUAUUAAAUGUAAUUCACAACCAUAUUAUUGCUUAUUCAUUUCAAAAUCUUCAUUGGGUAGGUACAAAUCAAUUAUCUUACCGAAAAGUUAAAUUGCGCUCCAAUUUCUAGGCCUCGCAUUUGUAAAUAAACAUGAAAUUCGAACCCAACUCAAACAAACAAAUAAACAAAUAAAUUUACGAUUGGAGUUAUAGAAAUAUCCAAAUAAAUUCGAAACAUCUAUAAAAUUCAAAUAGCUUUCUUUUAAGCUUAGGAUAUUCCAAACCCAUUGAAAGACUUAGACUAAGGGUGGUGCGAUCCACGGAUGAACUCUCAUUAUUCGGAUUGAAUGUGGUUUAAAACAUAGUCUCAUAUCCUCAUGGCCACAACGUGAAAUGUAGUAAGGUACCUUCAAACCUGAAUUACUUAGCACCUUAGAAUCCGUCUACCAGUAGACCACAACUUUAUAGUUAAAUUCAAAAAGUAGUUAAGAAUAUGAACCCAAAAUAUCAUAAAUCCCGAUCGGAACGGAUACUAUAGAGUCGAGGACUACCAAUAAUUUUACGUGCCUUCAACGAUAAGAAAUAAAACACAAAGCAAAAUCAAACCAAGAAUCACAUGCGUUUUUUUUUCAUAUUAACCGGUCUCGGAUGGUACAGACAAAACCCACAAAAACAUUUCCUUUCAAUAAAUCGAGUUUUGAUACAACUUAAUAAGUGACACGGACGCCUGAGUACCGGAGAAUCUCUCCAAUAAGUUCUCCUUUACCGGAACCAACAUACCGCCCACAAAUAUCACCGUUUCUAAUGAACAAGAACGUGGGCACUUCGAUAACAUUCAUGUCUUUUAGAAACUCCAUACAGCUAUCGUUCUCGUCCCCGUUCAUUCUAGCGAACACGACAGUCUCCGACAUCGACCGGGACAGCUUCAGCACCGUCGGAUAAACCUUGACACAUGGCCCACAGUGUUUCAGACCAACGUCGAGUACAAUCAGCUUGCCUCCAGUACGGUUCUCAUCAAUAAGCUUCUCCACAUCAGCUCGGCCGUGUAGCUGCACCACCGCCGAGUGGCUGUCCCCGUAGUAUAACACGUCCCCCAUUAGCUGGUCGGGGCCAAUACCUGCCAAACCGUUAUUAAAUGUCAGCCACUAUACUAAAUGCUAUUCCAUCUAUUUCAGAAAUAUAUAUUUGGCAGUUUUUCAUAAGAAAAUAUUAAAUUUUGAUUAUAAAUAUACUAUCUGUGAUUAAUUAUUUUCCAUAAUUUUAGUUAGUAAUACUUUAACAAAUGUCUUUAAAUGAAAAUUGAUUCUUUUUUUGAAACAAAUAAUUUUUUGAAACAUCUAUUUUUAUAACGGAGAGGGAGUACUGAUUUAAACUACUAAAUUGUUGUGUACUUUCUUUCCCUUAGUUUGAGAUAUUCUGUCUACGGAAUCAUGAACAUCAUCUUUAACAAAAGGUUUAGUUCCAAUUUAAAUAUUAGUUUAUCUAUGUUAAUUAGUGUAGAGGUAGUUAAGGGGUGAUUAGAGUUAACCUUCUUCCUCGUGUAUUUUCUCCAUGCUCUUAUAAAAGCUGAAGUGAGGAACUUUCUCGAUCUUCUCUCUCCGACAAAGCUCUCUUGUCUUUUCGGACUCAUCACCCAUGACGAGCAAGAAGUCGACGUCGUUACAUGUCCUGCUCAGCUCCACCAUAAACGGAUAUAUCUUGCUGCUCUGAUCACUCUUACUCGUGGCAAACUCCACAACCACAAGCUUGUUCUUGGCCUUCUUAAGCGCUUCGUCGAACUCCUCUCCGCUGUGAAUCUUUUGCACUUUCUCGUCCUUUAUUGCCGGUGUACCCACCUUCCCCGGUGGCGCCGCACCGGCCUUGACCUUCACGGCUGAGAAUCUUCUUUUCGAGGGAUUUUUAACACAGCUCUGUUUUAGGAUCAGUGAGUUGGGUUUGGGGUCGAAGAAUACGAACGAGGAGGAGGAAGAAACGGCGGAUGUUGGCCGUGGAAUCACGGUGGUGAUUCGGUUGGCUGAGAAGUUAGCGACGGUGGCCAUUGUGAGUGUGUGACUAUUGGUUAGAGAUUGGUGAGUGGUAUAAUGUGGAUAGAUGUUAUGUUUUUAAAAAGGACUCAAUAAUUCAUAUCCACUUAUUUUAAUUGUGUGGCUUCUGUUCGCUUUAGAUUAGAUUUUUUCUUAGGAACAAACGAAUAUGUGAUUUUGUAGCGAUUGCAGAUUCUAAAAGAUAUCGACGUUAUUUUGUUUACGUUGUUGCAUGAAGACAAAUAUGUUGGAAAUUUCUAUCGCCACCCAAGUGAGACUAGUUUAACCGGUUGAUUGCAUCGGCCGUCAAAAGUCUUAUGAUAAUUUUUCAGGUCAGUUCGAAUGGUCUAUCGACAUAACCAUGUACACGUGUAAUAUUACCAACCUCUCGCUCGAAUAACAACACUAUACAUGGAAACGAGGCAGGCUAAUAAAGUAUAGGCCUUUUAGCCCACAUCUCAGUAAGCCCAUUAUAGUCUCGACCAAACUCCUUUUAAUUAACAAAAUUUGUAAUCAAUACAUAAAAAUCUGGUAUAAUAUUGUAGGCUAGACGUGGCCAAAGGAAACUCAAAAACUUAUUUUAAAAACUUUGAACAAAAUAAAGCAUCGUUUUCUAAGGUAAUAAGUCGUAGUGCGCGUGACCACGAUGCAUCCACUACCGUAAUGCGACAAACCAUUAACAAAAAAAAUCAAAAACAAGAAUAUACAAAAGAUAAAAUAAAUCAGACGGUUGGCAACAAAAUAAACAUAUCGGACGGCCCACAAUUCCCACGACCACGCACUUACCAGUUACCACUACUGUCUUAACUCUUAACUCAACGUGGACACCUACUAACGAAACUACCAACCCCUUUACUUUUAAAAGUUCAAAAGUAAACAAUAACACGUGCUAACCCCAUUAACGCCGGCGCAAUCCACGGCAGAUCUCAACCGUCUAUUCUAUUUUUAUCUUACAGAUCUCAUCAAACAUCAUCAGUUGUUAUACCAAUCAAAUUGAAUAGAAGUAAAAAUUUAAAACACACUGAACAGCAAAGAGAUAUUAAUACGAAAUUAAAAAAAAAAGAGUCUUAACGGGCAAAACAUGAAACUGACUUUUUUUUUUUGUUUGCAUCAUUCAGAAGAAGCUUUCUCUGGUUUUCUACAGAGAAUCAUAUGCAUCGGCGAGAAGAUACCAGUCUCACCACCUCUAGACAAGUAAUCAGCAGUCUUAAACAACAUCUCAUGAACAUCAACGGUUCCUUUCGGAGCGAUCCCAACAGCAGACAGAACCACAACCACAACAUGGUUCCUCCAGUACGCAAUCCGACCCAUCUUAAGCCUGUUCCACCACGGUUUAGCGGGCGGUUUAGCCAAAUCCUUCUCUUGCACGACCUCGAACCCGACUCUCCUCGCCGCCGCAGCGAUGUCCGAGUACCUUCUCAUACCGGGAAGAGCGUCUCCCCUCUCGAUCCCUUGGAUCACCUCCCUGUGCUCUUCGUCUUCGUCUCUGUACUUAUCCGUCGUGACCCACUCGUACGAAACGUACAAAGAUCCAGGCUUCAUCACUCUGUAGAUCUCCGCGUACACUUCCUCCAGCUUGGGAGCGUGACACGUGGCCUCGAUAGAGUAAGCCCCGUCGAAGGAGUUAUCAUCGAACGGCAUUUGUAAAAAAUUACCGCAAACGACGUCGCAUAGAUGGUCCAGGCCCGCUUUUUUAUUGUGGAGCUUGGCCCGUUUCACUUGGUAGUCGUUGAUGGUGAUUCCGGUUACAUGGGCCUUUGAAUGGGCCGCGAUGGCUCUCAUCGGCCCACCGACUCCGCACCCCGCGUCUAAGAUUUUUUGCCCCGGUUUGACUUUGAUGAGAUCCACUGCCAUCUCUUCGUGGAUCCUCGUGGCGUCCUUGUCGGAUUUGCCCGGGAUGGAAGGGGAGAAGUGGAAGGACUGUCCCCAUCCCCACUCGUAGAUGUCCGUGACGAGGUUGUAGAACGUGUCGACGAAGUCAGGGACUUUCUCGGCGGUCUCGAUCUCUUUCGGUUUGCGGAAGAACGACCAGUAUUGGUUGUAGUUGUCUUUGACGUUUUCAGCGGAGAUGGAGCCGCCGGAGAGAUCUAAGGCUCGUUUGCCCUUUCGUUCUGCUGGACCUAAGACGCAGACGAACCAGUAGAUGCCGCCGGCGGCGGCUAGGGCGGCGGUGCAGUAGAGCGUUACCGAGUCCAUCAGUGUUUCUAAGAGAGAGAGAGAUGGAGAGAGGGUUUAGAACUCUUUUAAUUGUGAUCGGUUUGAUGGGUUUUAUAUGCAAAGAUGUAUGGAAGGAAUCUUUUGAUAAAUUAACUCCUUUUAAAAUAUUAGUACAAAAUUGGCUUAACGGAAAAAUUAUUGCCCAUAAAUAAAGAUUCUCGGAUCAUUUCCAUUUGGUAUUAUAUCUUAGAAAAAGGAAUUUAAAGUAUUUUGAUAUAUUAUGUAAUCUAACCUAUACUAAAAGGGUUAUAUGAGGAGUAGAGAGGGUGUCCACGUCAGAUUAAAAAAUCUACCAAUCAGAAAGAUUCAAUUUGCCAUGUCACAAGACCUUUCUCCUUUGCUCCUUCGUUUGGGCUGAUUCAUCUUCUCCGACUCUUGCACUUUGUCGUAACCCACUCUUUAUAAUCUUAAAUCCCUUUUUAAUGGUUUCGUUCCACACCAAUUUGUUAUGAUCUUAAUUUCUUUUUUAAUGGGUUCGUUCCACCUCCUCCUCUUCUCCUUCUAUCGCUUCAUCUGAUCUUAAAUCUAAUCGAAAACCUCCACUGAAGAAAGCUACAGCUACAGCCAUGAAAUCCACCGGAAAGUCUCCCGUCUCCACCAACAAGUCUCCUAUGGCUGUGUAUAUCAACGAUGUCUCACCCGGACCAGCCGAUUGCAAAAGGUUGGACCCGUCAGAAGUACAGGUAUGAGUGAUAAUCCCCAAAUUUUCUUACAUCAUAGUCUAUACCAAUGUCCCUAACUGCUGAUUGAAUAUUUCCGUUUCAAAAACACAGUUUUUUUUUUUUGAAGAUCGUAAGCCCAAACUCCAAAAAACUGGGAGCUUCGAUCAUGGAAGUCCAUUGCUACAAAGCCUUGCAUCCAUAUCCUUUUAAAUACGAUGACAUCUGUUCAUGCAUGAUCCAUCGCGGAUUUACUAUUGCGGUAAUAUGAUUUUUUUGAGUAUUUUUUUUUUGCAAGAUCCACCAAUAAUCCAAAAUCGCUCGAAGAUCAGGUAUUUGUCCUCAUCUUCAUACUUAAAUAUUUCUUUCUGUAUUGUCGUGGUCAUCUAAAUUUUAAUUUAUUCAGAUACGGUGAGAUUUGUGUAUGGUGAGCUCCUGGUAAUCUAAUCUCUUAAGAGUAUGUUAUUACAUAUGAGAUAUAGUGAAUACAUUAGAUAUUUAUGCAUCUCUGCUUUUUUUUCUACAGGGCUGCCAUGAAGAGAGAAUUAUUCACUGAAGCUUUUGCAAUGGUAUGUUUAGACCUUAUUUUACUGGUAUUGGAGUUUUUUUUUCAAUGGUCCAUUUUACUCAAACGAGUAAGUUUGUUGGUUUUAUUCUUGAAAACCAUCAUGGAAGAUUAAUAAAUAUUAUGUUCUCCUAUUAGUAUACUAAUUUAUAAAAAAUCCUAGAUCAUGCUGACUUUUUUGGUUCACCUUGAUGACAAAUAUAUGCAAUGAGUUUGUGAUGUUCCAGUUAGCUUUUAGUGUUGCUUCUUUGCCAAUUAUAUUCUUUGUAAUGAUUGGAAAAGUAUCUCCAAGCUCUAGAUUGGUAAUAAGUUUAUAAGUUCUCGCUUACUUGAAGCGUGUUUAAUCUUCUUUUUGUUGCGAAGAGCAGCUUUACGGUUGGUAUGGGAGCUAUACAGAGGCAACUUCAACAAUCUCCGUAUUGAAUGAGAUAUAGUAAGUCUGUUCCGAUAAAGCUAAUCUGUAACCCCGUUGAAUUCAUCACAUUAUUAAAGUGUACAUCUUUCUAUUACUGUUUGUUCCUUCGGUGAUACAUGUUUUUGACACAUUGAAAUGGUGCAGAAAAAUCUCACGGAACAGCACUACUGCAACUCAUUUGCUUACGCAGCACUCAAUGCAGUCCAUUAUGGGCAUGGCGGACUUCAGGUAACCUUUUUCAACUACCUUGCUUAGUUGUAGUGACAAUUUCUCUAUAGGAAACUCCAUCAUCUUGGGAGCUACCGAGUUAUAUAACUUUGUGUCUCAGCUAAUUGUUGUCAGUUCGGUUAUGUACAUUCUAAUCACAUCAGAAUCAGGCGGUAAGACUGAGCAAUUCAUGAACAUGCUCCCGAUCAACCCCUCCGCUAGCGUCAGAUGCGUUGAAGUCCUGGGCUUUAGCCAUCUCUGGCGUCCUUUUAGCCACAGCGGAGAUCGCAUUCUUCCAAGGAUAUCUCACUUGGCUAUCGUUAGGCUAUACAAUAUACAUCCCCUUUAUCGGUGGACGGACUAUAUAUGUUUCCUUCUACUCUCGAGGUAACAAAAUAAAAAUUGGAUCUUCAAGAAUUUUAUGUUUGAGAUGUUAUAAUGUCAUUUUUUGGUGUUUGUUUAAUUGGAAGGGGGAAUAAUGGGACUGUUGAUAACAACGGUGGUGAUUGCGUUGAAGGAUCUGUAUGCAGAGUGUUUUGAAUGAUCCCAAGAAAACCAAUUAGCUGUUGUGGGUUUCUUUAGUCGGAGCUUUCAAGUGCUGCCAUGGCUGCUGCUUUGUAUUGUGAGAAGGAUCAUGUAGAUUAGUUGAGAAAGAUAAAGAUAAUAAUUUUUUUAUGGUUUUAAUUUAGUCUUUUUCCUUUGGAAUGUUAUGUAGUGUGCAGCGAGAGAUGUGUAGUAUGAAAUUUCAAUUGUUAUGUUAUAUUGUAUGUGAUCUGAAUCUUUGAGGAAAACGUGUUAAAGUGUUUGCUGAUUAAUUGUUUUCAAAGACUCUAAAACAUUUUCUAAAAUGUAGAAAGUUGUAUCAAAUUACAAUAAACCACGUUUUAGUACAAGUGCUGUUGCGAGUCAGAGGGAGCAUAUGACCAGCUGGUAAAGGAUUAGUAGUCUUGGAGCUAGGCAACGGUGUAAUCAACGUGUCUGCGUAGUUAAGGAUUAUGCAACAAUUGCUUUACGUUUUUCAAUGAGAAGAGAGAUAAAAACAUGGAUGCAUUCUAUUAAAAACGGUUUAAGUAUAAUUAACCGAUAAAUACAUAAUUUUUGGCUGACAAAAAAUACACAAUUUUUGAUAUUAUCAAAAUCUCCAUAUUAACAUUUUUGAAUAUUUAUUGUUUUCCAUCUAUUUUUAUUACUUAUACCAAAAAUAUUUAUAACUGUCAUAUCAAUAAUAAUAUUGUUUACUAAGUUAGCAUAAUUAUUGACUCUAAAUUUUAGAAUAACAUGAAUAACAAGCCUUUAGUUUUAGUACUACACAGAAAUUAAAUUUAAUUUAAAAAAAAUAGAAAUAUAAAUUAUUAUUAGAUUUAAAAUCUUUAAUUUCAACAUGAAGAGGCAUGGAACAGGAAAUAAAUGAACAUGUGAAAUUACUAUAUAUUUUAUUAUUAUUGUUCCUAAUUCAUAGAAUUACAUAUGAUCAUUCUCUUUAUCUAUUGUCAGAAACUUAAAUAUUCUAAUUAUAAGUGAAUACACUAUACAAAAAUUAGAAUGUAACAAAGUAUAUAAAAUUAGAUACCAAAAAAAUAGGGUAAAUUUAUAAAUCGAAGCCGUCUUCAAUAACUUUGACUAUAUGUACAUGUAUACUUUAUAAAAAUUAUUAUAUUACUUCUUGAGAAAUUGCCAUAAAUACCGCAUUCAUAUUACUAUUUUUCAUGUUUACACUAACUAUUUUUCACUUUUAAUCAAGGGUAAAAAACAUUUAUAUCCCUAGGGUUAACUAAUCUAGACUUAAGAUUUAGAAUUGAGGGGUGGGUGGGGUAGGGUUUUUGAAAUGUGAAAUUUAGGAUUCUAAUAACUAUAUAAAUAAAUACUUAAAAAAUUAAAAAUUAAUAUUCGAUUUUUAAAAAGAAAUUUUGAAAAAAUAAUUUGAAAAAAUCAAUUUUUUUUUAUAAAAUGGUUCGAAUUUGAAAAAAAAUAUAAUUCGAAAACAUAAAAAAAAAUGAUUUUUAGAUUUUUAUUUAUUUAAAUAAUUAUUUAUUUUAUAUAUAUAGAGAACGAAAUUGGAAAUUGCCACAAAUACCACAAUCAUAGUACCACUUUUCAUGUAUAUACUAAUUACUUUUACCCUCACUUUUAACGAAUGGUAGAAGACACUUAUACCCAUAGGAUUAACUAAUCUAGACUUAGAGUUUAGAGUUGAGGGAUGGGGUAGGGUUUUUGGAAGAUGAAAUUUAGGAUUCUAAUUAAUAUAUAAAUAAAUACUUAAAAAUAUAAUUUUUUUAAAUAGUUUCAAACAUAAUUUUCGAUUAUCAAAAAGAAAAAUUGAAAAAAAAAAUUAAAAAAAUUAUAGAAAAGUUCGAAUUUGAAAAAUUCUAAUUCGAAAACAUAAAAAAAAUAUUAUUAUAUAUAUAAAGAACAAAGGUAUUUGCCACUUAAUGAAGAAGAUAUUUUUGAAAAUGUCCCUUUAGUGGUGGUAAAGAUGAAAAGUGGUACCAUGAAAGUGGUAAACAUGAAAUGUCCCUUUAUUUUUUUAGUCAUUUGUCACUUAAUGAAGAAUAUAUUUUUGAAAAUGUCCAUUUAGUGGUGGUAAAGAUGAAAAGUGGUACCAUGAAAGUGGUAAACAUGAAAUUUCCCCAACAAAGUUAAGAGUCUUUUACCACUUAAUAAAUAAAGUAUUUUUGAAAAUAUCCAUUUUGUGAUGGUAAAGAUGAAUAAUAGUAUCAUGAAAGUGGUAAACAUGAAAUUCCCUCUUACUUUUUUGAGCAGUUAUUUUUGGUUCAACUACUAAUAGUUGUAAUUUUUAAGUCCGCUUUUUUAUAACAGUUUAUUAUAAUUAUUAGAUUACAUGAUUAGUGAAAAAAUAUUUAUCAAGAUUUUUUUACUAUAAACAAUAUUAAAGUUAUUGAAAACAAACCCACACAUCAAUCUCUGAUAAUAAUGAAUAAUGAUUUUUCAAAAUCAAUCAAAAACACAAGAAAUGUUAUACAAAUAAGCAUUAAACAUGAAAAUGCAUUUCUCUUAUUCAAUAUGUUGUUGUAAACUGUAAUCUUCUUCUUCAAAGCCAAAAAUAUAUUAAAAAUGUCUUUUUGUAUUACAACCUUUUAAAUAAUAGUUUAUUAAUAAAUCAGAAAGAAGCAUAUAAAAAAAGAACAUGGAAAAAAUAAAUAAUUUAACUUAAAUUGAAAAUAAAAUCAUGUCUAACAAACAUAUGAAAAUAGUAUAGUUAUAACAAAAAUAUUUAUAAAUUAUAAUAGAGCUUAUAUGUAGUGUAUAUACUACAUUUAUAAAAAACGGAAGAUAACAAAAGUUUCAAAAUCUUAAAACACAACAAAUAUCAAAAUUUUAUAUUCAAUAUAACAUGAAAAUGAAAGUAACUAAUACACCAAUAUACAAACUAUAGUUAAAUAAAAUAUAGUUCAUAAUCCGCGCGUAGCGCGGAAAAAUCUCUAGUUGAGUUUUAAUAUUUACAAAGAACCAGUUAGAAAUUGACAUAUUUCUCAGUAAUCUUUUGUGAGUUUGAAAAUGAAAAUUACUUUUAGUUUUUCUUUUUUAUUAUUAAGAUUUUUUUAGAUGAUUUUUGAAAACAUUCCAUUAAUAAUUUUGUUGUUCUUGGAUUUUUUUUUGCUUGCUAUAUAUUCUUUCGUUUUUUCUAGAAAAAUAUUUAGAAAAAAUAUUUCAAAAUUAUGUUUAUAUAUAUUGUAAUGUAUCAUUUAAAUAAUAUUUACGUUUAUCAAAAUUUUAUUGGUUAAUAGUUGUUGUAAAUAAUUAAUUAGAAAAAAUAUUUCAAUAAUCAAAAUUUAUUAUAUUUUUAAAAUUUGUGUGAAAGUUUUAAAUCUUCUCUAUUAAAAGAGAAGUGUCAUUUUUAUCUAAUAUUUAGAAGUCUAUUAUGACCAUUUCAUUAAUCACAUAAUAUGUCAUAAUAAUUAAUAGGAAUAUUAAUAAUAAAUUAAUUUUAACUAUAGAUUUGAAUUUUAUCUUCAGUUAUAACAAAAUCUGUUGAGAAAAAUCUAACAAAAUCAUACUAAAUUUUUAAAUAAUUUUUAUUAAAUAUUGCAUUAAUUAAUUUCGUAAUUAAGUAAUAUAAUGCUUUCAUUUAAAUAAAUUAUCAUCUACCACUAAAACGGGUUCAAAUUUAUUAAUCAUGUCAGAUUUUUUUUAUACUAAUGAAGUUAUUAACAUAUGUUAAAAAUUUAUUUCUACAGCUAUAUAUUUUUAAAAAUCAUAUGUUGAAGAAUAUUUUUUAUUUGAUUAUUUCAAAUUAUGAAAAUCCAAAAACGUAAUAAAAAAAGUAAAAUGUAUAAAACAAACCCCUAUAUUAAUAAAGUAAUAAGAAACCUAAACAAUAAAAUUAAAGAGUUAUAAAAUACAUAAUACUAAGAUAUAAAUUGUAUAUUUAAAUUUAUAUAAUAAUAUCAAAAUUAAAUAUUUAUAAAAUGAAAAUAUAUCUGCACGGUGUGCGGGAUAAACUCUAGUAUACAUUUAAAAAAA
rnacentral:lncRNA from 1 species